rnacentral:rRNA from 1 species
UACAGAGGGUGCGAGCGUUAAUCGGAUUUACUGGGCGUAAAGGGCGCGUAGGCGGCUUGGCAAGUGGAUGGUGAAAUCCCUCGGCUUAACCGAGGAACUGCCGUCCAAACUGCUUUGCUUGAGACCGGGAGAGGUGAGUGGAAUUCCCAGUGUAGCGGUGAAAUGCGUAGAUAUUGGGAGGAACACCAGUGGCGAAGGCGGCUCACUGGACCGGUACUGACGCUGAGACGCGAAAGCGUGGGGAGCAAACAGG